rnacentral:rRNA from 1 species
GACGAACCGUCCAAACGUUAUUCGGAAUCACUGGGCUUACAGAGUUCGUAGGCGGUCUGGAAAGUUGGGUGUGAAAUCCCUCGGCCUAACCGAGGAACUGCGCUUGAAACUACCAGACUCGAGGGAGAUAGAGGAAAGCGGAACUGAUGGUGGAGCGGUGAAAUGCGUUGAUAUCAUCAGGAACACCGGUGGCGAAGGCGGGUCUCUGGGCCGAUACUGACGCUGAGGAGCGAAAGCGUGGGGAGCAAACAGG